rnacentral:rRNA from 1 species
UACAGGGGGUGCUAGCGUUGUUCGGAAUUACUGGGCGUAAAGGGCGCGUAGGCGGCUUUGUAAGUCAGAUGUGAAAUCCCCGGGCUUAACUCGGGACGUGCAUUUGAAACUGCGAGGCUAGAGUGCAGUAGAGGUUGGUGGAAUUCCCAGUGUAGAGGUGAAAUUCGUAGAUAUUGGGAGGAACACCGGUGGCGAAGGCGGCCAACUGGGCUGCAACUGACGCUGAGGCGCAAAAGCGUGGGGAUCAAACAGG